AAACAGAGAGAAGGCAGCCACCUGCAAGCCAAGGAGAGAGGCCUCGGAAGAAACCCAAACUGCUGACACCUUGAUCUUGGACUUCUAGCCUCCAGAACUCUCAGAAGCAUGAGAGAAACUACCUUGGCAGCCAGUGCCCACGUGUCUGUUGAAUUGAAUCUAACGAAAAAGGGGAAAAUGUCCCGUGGCGUUGAUCUGGAAGAAAGGAAAGAAGUACACAAGUCUUCCGGAGCUCACUCACUUGUGAAGUGAUCAGAAUUCGGGAAUGUUCGCUUUGAGCUCUUGCUACUAGAGCUCGCCAGCGACCUCCUCCCUCCCACAGAGGCUAAAUGGUGAUGCAUUUCUAACUGAC
rnacentral:lncRNA from 1 species